CUUGGCGCUGAGAAAAAAAAUCAUAGUAUACAAAAUAUUAAAACGACAACGACGACGUCGACAACAAUGAAGAUGGUGAUGAUUUCUAUGAGCGGACUGGCACAGCGGUUGCGGUUCUGUUUCUCAACCUUGAGAUUCUGGACACACCAUGUCAUUCAGACGGAUAACGUUAACUCAGCGUCCAUGCGCAGUAGAUUGUAAGUGACGUCAGUAUAUUUUAUAUCUUACCGUCGAUGUGCAAUCGAAAGCUCCUUAAUAGUUACAUUCACUGAAUCAGAAUAGACCUUUCCGGAGUGUCAAUCAAACUUAACAACCGACUAAUCAGAACAGCUCUAGGAAUACGCGCGCGUCUUACAAACACACGUGUUGUCCCACAAACUCACGUGUCCGCGUAUGUUUUAACACUGCCGUCUUGUGGGACCUUAGCAACAAUAUCCAAGGGGCGGAGCUUAGCGGAAAGGUCCAUUAUGGACAGAAGGUCCAGAUGCUUGCUUUUUGAAAAGCAUGAGAUCUGCUUAUGAGAAAGCAUCUUUAAACACAUUUAAAACAAUAUUUUUAAGUUUUAGAGAGAAGCUGCAUUAGCUAAAGACUCGAUAUAGCAUAAAAAAUGAUAAAUCAGUGUCAUUUCAAAAAUUCUCUAUUUGAGAAACGUACCUGUUUGAUCUCAGAUUCUGAAAAAUGGAACAAUAGUAAAAAACCAAACAACAUGGAAACACGGCAAUCAUUGACAGCACAAAACAACCGAGUUAUAAUAUAUUCAGCAGAGCAAGGAAUCAGAUCAGCUGUUGACACUCAUGAAUCAAGGGAUUACUUUUCUUUAGUGAUUAUAUAACAUUCAGUUCUUUCUUAAAGAGUUUUAAUGAAUAAUAUGUACCGGUACGUAUAUUUAGUGGCAACUGUCCUGAACACUUCUGAGUUUAAAAAAUGUGCUCCAUGGUUGAAACCAAGACACAGCAGAGUAUUAGUUAAUAAUUUGUAGGCGGUUAUUUCAAGUUUGUGAAUGGUUUACUCUUUUCUAUUGUUUAACCUGAUAUUAGAAAGUAAUGGAGAGUCCAAUGUAUAUAAAACGCA